rnacentral:rRNA from 1 species
GAUGAACGCUGGCGGCGUGCCUAAUACAUGCAAGUCGAGCGAACAGACGAGGAGCUUGCUCCUCUGACGUUAGCGGCGGACGGGUGAGUAACACGUGGAUAACCUACCUAUAAGACUGGGAUAACUUCGGGAAACCGGAGCUAAUACCGGAUAAUAUAUUGAACCGCAUGGUUCAAUAGUGAAAGACGGUUUUGCUGUCACUUAUAGAUGGAUCCGCGCCGCAUUAGCUAGUUGGUAAGGUAACGGCUUACGAAGGCGACGAUGCGUAGCCGACCUGAUAGGGUGAUCGGCCACACUGGAACUUAGACACGGUCCAGACUCCUACGGGAGGCAGCAGUAGGGAAUCUUCCGCAAUGGGCGAAAGCCUGACGGAGCAACGCCGCGUGAGUGAUGAAGGUCUUCGGAUCGUAAAACUCUGUUAUUAGGGAAGAACAAAUGUGUAAGUAACUAUGCACGUCUUGACGGUACCUAAUCAGAAAGCCACGGCUAACUACGUG